rnacentral:lncRNA from 1 species
AAGUUUUCCAGUGGCUCCAUAAUAUGUGAUAUCACAACAGAUUGAAUACAGAAACAGGUGCUGCACCUGUUCUAGGCAUUGAAUUUGAAACCUGUCUUUGCCACAUAUAACUAUAAAAUAUUUGGAAGAUUGCCUUCUAUAUGUGCUUAUACUCCAAGAUGGAAGAUUACCAAUAACAAAUGAAGCAUCCAUUAACUUCGAAUGAUCAGAUGCUAGGGAGUGAGGAAUUUUCAGGCCAAAAUGCACUGGGUUAUUGUCUCCUAUUGACAGUGUGAUAUUACAGAUAACCUCUAGGAGAUCCUGAACAUAUUCAGGCUAAACCAGGCAAACAAACAUUCAGGAUGUUACCAGUGUGGAAAACCCCUAGGAGGUAAGUAUGGC